GUGAGGAAUAUUGCGCAAUGGAGGCAACUCUGACGCAGCCAUGUCGCGUGCAGGAAGAAGGCGCUACGCGUUGUAAACUGCUUUUAACCGGGAAGAAACCCCAGGACGUGUCCUGGGUUGACGGUACCGGAGGAAUAAGCACCGGCUAACUUCGUGCCAGCAGCCGCGGUAAUACGAAGGGUGCAAGCGUUAUCCGGAUUCAUUGGGUUUAAAGGGUGCGUAGGCGGAGCGUUAAGUCAGUGAUGAAAUCCUGCAGCUUAAAUGUAGACUUGCCAUUGAUACUGGCGCUCUUGAGUGCUCUUGAAGUGGGCGGAAUGUGCCGUGUAGCGGUGAAAUGCUUAGAUAUGGCACAGAACACCAAUUGCGAAGGCAGCUCACUAAGGCGAUACUGACGCUGAGGCACGAAAGCGUGGGGAUCGAACAGGAUUAGAAACCCGUGUAGUCC
rnacentral:rRNA from 1 species